GUCGUCAGCUCGUGCCGUGAGGUGUCGGCUUAAGUGCCAUAACGAGCGCAACCUCAUCAUUAGUUACCAUCAGGUAAGGCUGGGGACUCUAAUGAGACUGCCAUCGUAAGAUGUGAGGAAGGUGGGGAUGACGUCAAAUCAGCACGGCCCUUACGUCCGGGGCGACACACGUGUUACAAUGGGUGGUACAAAGGGCAGCUACCUGGCGACAGGAUGCUAAUCUCGAAAACCGCUCUCAGUUCGGAUCGGAGUCUGCAACUCGACUCCGUGAAGCUGGAUUCGCUAGUAAUCGCGCAUCAGCCACGGCGCGGUGAAUACGUUCCCGGGCCUU
rnacentral:rRNA from 1 species